UUUAAAUCCUUUAACGAGUAUCCAUUGGAGGGCAAGUCUGGUGCCAGCAGCCGCGGUAAUUCCAGCUCCAAUAGCGUAUAUUAAAGUUGUUGCGGUUAAAAAGCUCGUAGUUGGACUUGUGUCCCACGCUGUCGGUUCACCGCCCGUCGGUGUCUAACUGACAUGUAUCGUGGGACGUCCUGCCGGUGGUGGCGAGUCRAAAGAUCGCGCCCCCGUGGUUCUUCCAUGGGUAGGUUGCGGUUCGUARACGGACCCCGAUGAAAUCCUACCGCGGUGCUCUUAAACGAGUGUCGAGGUGGGCCGGCACGUUUACUUUGAACAAAUUAGAGUGCUUAAAGCAGGCCUGAUGCGCCUGAAUACUGUGUGCAUGGAAUAAUGGAAUAGGACCUCGGUUCUAUUUUGUUGGUUUUCGGAACCCGAGGUAAUGAUUAAUAGGGACAGUCGGGGGCAUUCGUAUUGCGACGUUAGAGGUGAAAUUCUUGGAUCGUCGCAAGACGGACCGAAGCGAAAGCAUUUGCCAAGUAUGUUUUCAUUAAUCAAGAACGAAAGUUAGAGGUUCGAAGGCGAUCAGAUACCGCCCUAGUUCUAACCAUAAACGAUGCCAGCUAGCGAUCCGCCGAAGUUCCUCCGAUGACUCGGCGGGCAGCUCCCGGGAAACCAAAGCUUUUGGGUUCCGGGGGAAGUAUGGUUGCAAAGCUGAAACUUAAAGGAAUUGACGGAAGGGCACCACCAGGAGUGGAGCCUGCGGCUUAAUUUGACUCAACACGGGAAACCUCACCAGGCCCGGACACUGGAAGGAUUGACAGAUUGAGAGCUCUUUCUUGAUUCAGUGGGUGGUGGUGCAUGGCCGUUCUUAGUUGGUGGAGCGAUUUGUCUGGUUAAUUCCGAUAACGAACGAGACUCUAGCCUGCUAAAUAGUCGCAUCCGGUAU
rnacentral:rRNA from 1 species